AUUGAACGCUGGCGGCAGGCCUAACACAUGCAAGUCGAGCGAGCGGCGGACGGGUGAGUAAUGUCUGGGAAACUGCCUGAUGGAGGGGGAUAACUACUGGAAACGGUAGCUAAUACCGCAUACCAUCAGAUGGGCCCAGAUGGGAUUAGCUUGUAGGUGGGGUAACGGCUCACCUAGGCGACGAUCCCUAGCUGGUCUGAGAGGAUGACCAGCCACACUGGGACUGAGACACGGUCCAGACUCCUACGGGAGGCAGCAGUGGGGAAGAUUGCACAAUGGGCGCAAGCCUGAUGCAGCCAUGCCGCGUGUAUGAAGAAGGCCUUCGGGUUGUAAAGUACUUUCAGCGGGGAGGCGUUACUCGCAGAAGAAGCACCGGCUAACUCCGUGCCAGCAGCCGCGGUAAUUC
rnacentral:rRNA from 1 species